UGGGGAAUAUUGCACAAUGGGCGCAAGCCUGAUGCAGCCAUGCCGCGUGUAUGAAGAAGGCCUUCGGGUUGUAAAGUACUUUCAGCGGGGAGGAAGGGAGUAAAGUUAAUACCUUUACUCAUUGACGUCACCCGCAGAGGAAGCACCGGCUAACUCCGUGCCAGCAGCCGCGGUAAUACGGAGGGUGCAAGCAUUAAUCGGAAUUACUGGGCGUAAAGCGCACGCAGGCGGUUUGUUAAGUCAGAUGUGAAAUCCCCGGGCUCAACCUGGGAACUGCAUCUGAUACUGGCAAGCUUGAGUCUCGUAGAGGGGGGUAGAAUUCCAGGUGUAGCGGUGAAAUGCGUAGAGAUCUGGAGGAAUACCGGUGGCGAAGGCGGCCCCCUGGACGAAGACUGACGCUCAGGUGCGAAAGCGUGGGGAGCAAACAGG
rnacentral:rRNA from 1 species